rnacentral:rRNA from 1 species
AAAAGGCGGCGUAAAGCUGUCGCUAUGGGGAUGGGCCCCCGCGGUGCAUUAGCUAGUUGGUAAGGUAAAGGCUUACCAAGGCGAUGAUGCAUAGCCGAGUUGAGAGACUGAUCGGCCACAUUGGGACUGAGACACGGCCCAAACUCCUACGGGAGGCAGCAGCAGGGAAUCUUCCACAAUGGACGCAAGUCUGAUGGAGCAACGCCGCGUGAGUGAAGAAGGUUUUCGGAUCGUAAAAGCUCUGUUGUUGGUGAAGAUGGAUAGAGGUAGUAACUGGCCUUUAUUUGACGGUAAUCAACCAGAAAGUCACGGCUAACUACGUGCCAGCAGCCGCGGGUAAU